UAACUGGCAUUCCCUAGUAGCGGCGAGCGCAGCGGGAAGAGCUCAAAUUUAUAAUCUGGCACCUUCGGUGUCCGAGUUGUAAUCUCUAGAAAUGUUUUCCGCGCUGGACCGCACACAAGUCUGUUGGAAUACAGCGGCAUAGUGGUGAGACCCCCGUAUAUGGUGCGGACGCCCAGCGCUUUGUGAUACAUUUUCGAAGAGUCGAGUUGUUUGGGAAUGCAGCUCAAAUUGGGUGGUAAAUUCCAUCUAAAGCUAAAUAUUGGCGAGAGACCGAUAGCGAACAAGUACCGUGAGGGAAAGAUGAAAAGCACUUUGGAAAGAGAGUUAACAGUACGUGAAAUUGUUGGAAGGGAAACGCUUGAAGUCAGACUUGCUUGCCGAGCAAUCGGUUUGCAGGCCAGCAUCAGUUUUCCGGGAUGGAUAAUGGUAGAGAGAAGGUAGCAGUUUCGGCUGUGUUAUAGCUCUCUGCUGGAUACAUCUUGGGGGACUGAGGAACGCAGUGUGCCUUUGGCGGGGGUUUCGACCUCUUCACACUUAGGAUGCUGGUGGAAUGGCUUUAAACGACCCGUCUUGAAACACCGGACCCAAAA
rnacentral:rRNA from 1 species